UGGUGAGGUAACGGCUCACCAAGGCGACGAUCAGUAGCCGGCCUGAGAGGGCGGACGGCCACACUGGAACUGAGACACGGUCCAGACUCCUACGGGAGGCAGCAGUGGGGAAUUUUGCGCAAUGGGCGAAAGCCUGACGCAGCAACGCCGCGUGGAGGACGAAGGCCCUCGGGUCGUAAACUCCUGUCGACGGGGAAGAAAGCCGCAAGGUUUGACUGUACCCGUUGAGGAAGCCACGGCUAACUCCGUGCCAGCAGCCGCGGUAAUACGGAGGUGGCAAGCGUUGUUCGGAAUUACUGGGCGUAAAGGGCGCGUAGGCGGCAUGGCAAGUCAGAUGUGAAAGCCCCGGGCUUAACCUGGGAAUUGCAUCUGAAACUGUUGUGCUUGAGUUCUGGAGGGGGUAGUGGAAUUCCCAGUGUAGCGGUGAAAUGCGUAGAUAUUGGGAGGAACACCUGCGGCGAAGGCGGCUACCUGGACAGAUACUGACGCUGAGGCGCGAAAGCUAGGGGAGCAAACGGGAUUAGAUACCCCGGUAGUCCUAGCCGUAAACGAUGGGCACUUGGUGUUGGGGGUAUUGAGUCCCCCGGUGCCGGAGUUAACACGUUA
rnacentral:rRNA from 1 species